UUCCAGAGGGUUGCACUUUCU
rnacentral:miRNA from 1 species